UACAGAGGGUGCGAGCGUUAAUCGGAAUUACUGGGCGUAAAGCGCGCGUAGGCGGCUUCGCAAGUCGGGUGUGAAAUCCCCAGGCUUAACCUGGGAACUGCAUUCGAGACUGCAUUGCUAGAGUAUGGGAGAGGGAAGUGGAAUUUCCGGUGUAGCGGUGAAAUGCGUAGAUAUCGGAAGGAACAUCAGUGGCGAAAGCGACUUCCUGGACCAAUACUGACGCUCAUGUGCGAAAGCGUGGGGAGCAAACAGG
rnacentral:rRNA from 1 species